GAUGAACGCUGGCGGCGUGCUUAACACAUGCAAGUCGAACGGAAAGGCCUCAGCUUGCUGGGGUACUCGAGUGGCGAACGGGUGAGUGACACGUGGGUGAUCUGCCCUGCACUUCGGGAUAAGCCUGGGAAACUGGGUCUAAUACCGGAUAGGACCAUAGUUUAGUGUCGGUGGUGGAAAGUUUUUCGGUGCAGGAUGAGCUCGCGGCCUAUCAGCUUGUUGGUGGGGUAAUGGCCUACCAAGGCGUCGACGGGUAGCCGGCCUGAGAGGGUGGACGGCCACAUUGGGACUGAGACACGGCCCAGACGCCUACGGGAGGCAGCAGUGGGGAAUAUUGCACAAUGGGCGCAAGCCUGAUGCAGCGACGCCGCGUGGGGGAUGAAGGCCUUCGGGUUGUAAACUCCUUUCAACCAUGACGAAGCGUAAGUGACGGUAGUGGUAGAAGAAGCACCGGCUAACUACGUGCCAGCCGCCGCGGUAA
rnacentral:rRNA from 1 species